UACGGCCGCGUCAUGUUGAAAAUACCGGAUCCCGUAUGCUCACAGAUGCUAAGCAACGUCGAGCAUGAGUAAUACCUCGAUUGGUGACCACUUGCGAAUAACAGGUACUU